GGUUAAGUUACAAAGGGCGCACGGUGGAUGCCUUGGCACUAGGAGCCGAUGAAGGACGGGACUAACACCGAUAUGCUUCGGGGAGCUGUAAGUAAGCUUUGAUCCGGAGAUUUCCGAAUGGGGCAACCCAACCAGUUAUGCUGGUUAUCUAUUACUGAAUACAUAGGUAAUAGAAGGUAGACGCAGGGAACUGAAACAUCUAAGUACCUGCAGGAAUAGAAAGAAAAUUCGAUUCCCUCAGUAGCGGCGAGCGAACGGGGAACAGCCCAAACCAAGAAGCUUGCUUCUUGGGGUUGUAGGACUGGACUUUAGAGUUACCAAAGUAAUGAUUAGUAGAAGUAGUUGGAAAGCUACGCCAAAGGGCGUGAUAGCCGCGUAUACUAAAAUCAUUACCCUCUGUCCAGGAUCCUGAGUACGGCGGAACACGUGAAAUUCCGUCGGAAUCCGGGAGGACCAUCUCCCAAGGCUAAAUACUCCCUAGUGACCGAUAGUGAACCAGUACCGUGAGGGAAAGGUGAAAAGCACCCCGGAAGGGGAGUGAAAUAGUUCCUGAAACCGUGUGCCUACAAUUAGUCAAAGCCCAUUUAUGGGUGAUGGCGUGCCUUUUGUAGAAUGAACCGGCGAGUUACGCUAGCAUGCGAGGUUAAAUCGAAAAGAUGGAGCCGUAGCGAAAGCGAGUCUGAAAUGGGCGCUUAAGUAUGUUGGUGUAGACCCGAAACCAAGUGACCUACCCAUGUCCAGGUUGAAGGUGCGGUAAAACGCACUGGAGGACCGAACUCAUGUAUGUUGAAAAAUGCUGAGAUGAGGUGUGGGUAGCGGUGAAAUUCCAAACGAACUUGGAGAUAGCUGGUUCUCUCCGAAAUAGCUUUAGGGCUAGCCUCGGAUGUUUGAUCAUGGAGGUAGAGCACUGUUUGGGUAAGGGGUCCGUCUUGGAUUACUGAGCUCAGAUAAACUCCGAAUGCCAUUGAUCAUAUAGUCCGGGAGUCAGACAGUGAGUGAUAAGAUCCAUUGUCGAAAGGGGAACAGCCCAGAUCACCAGUUAAGGUCCCUAAAUUCAUGCUAAGUGGAAAAGGAUGUGGCGUUGCACAGACAACUAGGAUGUUGGCUCAGAAGCAGCCAUCAUUUAAAGAGUGCGUAAUAGCUCACUAGUCGAGUGACGCUGCGCCGAAAAUGUACCGGGGCUAAGCAUGAUACCGAAACUGUGGAUGGAUACCUUUGGUAUCCGUGGUAGGAGAGCGUUCUAAGGGCGUUGAAGUCAGAUCGUGAGGACUGAUGGAGCGCUUAGAAGUGAGAAUGCCGGCAUGAGUAGCGAAAGAUGAGUGAGAAUCUCAUCCACCGAAUGACUAAGGUUUCCUGGGGAAGGCUCGUCCUCCCAGGGUUAGUCGGGUCCUAAGUCGAGGCCAAGAGGCGUAGACGAUGGAUAACAGGUUGAUAUUCCUGUACUAAUUGGUUUUGUUUGAGCGAUGGAGGGACGCAGGAGGCUAAGAAAUGCACCCGGCUGGAAAUGGGUGUCCAAACAACAAGUCUUGAUAGGAGUCAAAUGCUUCUAUCUUUAAGGACAAGUUGCGAUGGGGAGCGAAAUUUUAGUAGCGAAGUUUCUGACGUCACACUGCCGAGAAAAGCUUCUAGUGAGAAACAAAUUACCCGUACCGCAAACCGACACAGGUAGUCGAGGAGAGAAUCCUAAGGUGAGCGAGUGAACUCUCGUUAAGGAACUCGGCAAAAUAGCCCCGUAACUUCGGAAUAAGGGGUGCUGACCGUAAGGUCAGCCGCAGUGAAUAGGCCCAAACAACUGUUUAUCAAAAACACAGGUCUCUGCUAAAUCGUAAGAUGACGUAUAGGGGCUGACACCUGCCCGGUGCUGGAAGGUUAAGAGGAUGAGUUAGCUUCGGCGAAGCCCAGAAUUGAAGCCCCAGUAAACGGCGGCCGUAACUAUAACGGUCCUAAGGUAGCGAAAUUCCUUGUCGGGUAAGUUCCGACCCGCACGAAAGGUGUAAUGAUUUGGGCACUGUCUCAACGAGAGACUCGGUGAAAUUAUGGUACCCGUGAAGACGCGGGUUACCCGCGACAGGACGGAAAGACCCCAUGGAGCUUUACUGUAGCUUGAUAUUGAGUGUUUGUACAGCUUGUACAGGAUAGGUAGGAGCCGUUGAAACCGGGACGCUAGUCUCGGUGGAGGCGUUGGUGGGAUACUACCCUUGCUGUAUGAACCCUCUAACCCAUACCACUAAGCGUGGUAGGAGACAGUGUCAGGUGGGCAGUUUGACUGGGGCGGUCGCCUCCUAAAAUGUAACGGAGGCGCCCAAAGGUUCCCUCAGAAUGGUUGGAAAUCAUUCGCAGAGUGUAAAGGUAUAAGGGAGCUUGACUGUGAGACUGACAAGUCGAGCAGGGACGAAAGUCGGGCUUAGUGAUCCGGUGGUUCCGUAUGGAAGGGCCAUCGCUCAACGGAUAAAAGCUACCCUGGGGAUAACAGGCUUAUCUUCCCCAAGAGUCCACAUCGACGGGAAGGUUUGGCACCUCGAUGUCGGCUCAUCGCAUCCUGGGGCUGUAGUCGGUCCCAAGGGUUGGGCUGUUCGCCCAUUAAAGCGGUACGCGAGCUGGGUUCAGAACGUCGUGAGACAGUUCGGUCCCUAUCCGUCGCGGGCGUAGGAAAUUUGAGAGAAGCUGUCCUUAGUACGAGAGGACCGGGAUGGACACACCGCUGGUGUACCAGUUGUGCCGCCAGGCGCAUCGCUGGGUAGCUAUGUGUGGCAGGGAUAAACGCUGAAAGCAUCUAAGUGUGAAGCCCCUCUCAAGAUGAGAUUUCCCAUUCCAUUAUGGAAGUAAGACCCCUGAAAGAUGAUCAGGUAGAUAGGCUGGAGGUGGAAGCACCGUGAGGUGUGGAGCUGACCAGUACUAAUCGGUCGAGGACUUAACCAA
rfam:Lactobacillus selangorensis strain DSM 13344 Scaffold13, whole genome shotgun sequence.